rnacentral:rRNA from 1 species
CCUACGGGAGGCAGCAGUGAGGAAUAUUGGUCAAUGGGCGCAAGCCUGAACCAGCCAUGCCGCGUGCCGGAGGACCGCCCUAUGCCUUGUUAACUGCUUUUGUAUGGGAGCAAUAAGGUCUAUGCGUAGACUGAUGAGAGUACCUUACGAAUAAGAAUCUGCUAACUCCGUGCCAGC